ensembl:lncRNA
UGGCCACAGAACUACCGUGUGGCUCUGAUCUGCUCUAAGGAAAAUAGUAGGAAGACAGGACACUCGCUGCGCUCGCAGGACUAAGAGGGAACACCCCUUUUGCGGCAUGCACCAAAGUCCUCCAUUCCCCCCUGGGAAGUCAAAGCUAAGCUUUUUCUGUCCAACAGCGUACAACUCCCUCAGCAAUAAAUCCACUUGCCCUUAUUACCAAUAUCCUACCCUGUUUUACUUCCCAGGAAAACAACGACAACAACAACGAUACAUCCCCAACCCACAGAGCAAGGACAUGCACAAUGCUGGGUUUUAUCCCUCUGUUAAAACAAAUAAAACUAAAAAUCAGAACCGAAGAAAAUGCUUGCAGAGUUCUCUGUCAGUUCUGUAGCCAUUUACAGACCACCACCACCAAGGGCACCUCGUUGAGAAGACUGAAACAUCCCCGCCUUGUAAUUGUAUCACAGUUGUGAAAAUCAAAUUCAUUUCCAAACAUUUCCCUAAGAUGUUCAAAGCCUGGACCGCCAAAGCAAAAUGCACCAAGACCCCAGCAUUUCAUCUAGCUGUCUAAAAUAUUAAACUUUUCAUAUAUGCGGGAUUGGAAUGCGUCCUUCUCCAAGUGCACUUCAGAGCGCUCGCCCCACAUCAGCAACGGUAGUUCCGGCAUACUGCAAUUUCCCAAUCCCCACGGGAAUGCCUGCAAGGAUUCCAUCUGAAGGUUUAGGCGACAUCCAAAGUUAGUGGGCGCUUCAGCAGCUGAAAUAGAAAUGCUGUUCAGCUCCCCGGCCAUAUUUUCCAGACCGUGCCUCUAAUAAGAACAGUACACUUGCAUGCGUUCCUGAACUACAAUGGGACAGGACAGUGAUUAAAGUAGUGAAGCAUAGCGCAGUAUCUCUCUGGUAACAUACAUUGUGUAUGGAAUGGAGCGUAAAGGGAAAUGAGAUGAACUUUGUACAGCUCACCUUAAUUAAGUCGUGUCCCGAUGGAAAUUAAUUUGAAUGUUAAAAGCAUGUAUAUACAUUGUCUGAGCUUUCUCUCAGUGCCCACUUCAAGCCACAUGCACUGUCCCGGGUCUGUCAGUUCCGGGUGUUCACAUACAUUCUCCUAUUCAUCCAGCUGGCCGUCACUUUGUAUCUUGCAAGUGGUUAACAGCAAAUUCUAUGGACAGUAAGAGUUACAUCUUAGCACCUUUCCAAACAUCUGCCAGCCAGCACACCACGCUUCAGCCCGACCACAGGCUUCUGAAUUUCACACUGUUUCAGGAGGUUUUAUUAAAUUAAGACUGUGGAGCACCAUGUUUUUGCCGGCCCCUAGUUUUACUUUGGUUUGUAGUCCCCCUGAGCAGUGAAGGUCUGCACGUUUGUUCCAACAAGACUUAUUUUUCUUAUUAAUUAAUUUAUUUUUUUUUUCCUUUUUCUUUUGUUCGGAAUUGGGGCGAUGGAAAGCGGAGCGGAGACGCACCCAUCGGGGGCCCCUGGAAACCGUUAAGGCCGGGAACGUUCUUCGGAGGGGAGACGCUCUAUCGCGCCGGUCGCGUCGGAUGCAAAGCGACCCGUUUGAAUUGGCACAAUUACUUAACUUAUCGAUGAAUCCCACAGUGCGGCGAGAAGGAGAAGCGCGUAACAAACUGUACUUCAAAGUGUAAUUUAAGUCCCUAAUUCAGAUCCGGAGUCCGCACGUCAAACUGUCAGAGCCCCGGGCCGUCCCUAACGAGGCCGGCUGCGCUAAGGAGGCAACGACUCCCAGGUGCCGCGGGGCCGCGGCCGGCCGGGCGCAGCUGCGCCUCGUCGGGAGCCGCGGGCGGGGCCCGCCCCAAAGCCUCUUAAGCUCCUCCGGAGGCUGCCGGGAGCCACGGGGGAGUUUCUGCGGUUGUGGAUAGGAGACGGAGUGAGUUCUGUUUCUUUGUCGGGCCCUGACGCUGCUGAGGCUGAGAAGCGGCUGCUGUGAGACCUUUCGCGGUAAGGACCAGCCCAAACAGGCUGAGCGAGGGCUGCAGCAGAGGCUCUCAUCGGCCCGAAGCAGUGAGCUCGUGGAAGCGGAAAGACAGACCGGCCAGGCGGUGGAGUCUCUCUUCGAGGGAGAGAACGGGAACGUAUCGAGCUCCACCUAGGGGUGAAUGAAGAACCAGCGGAGCGUUUGUGCGUGAGGCUGAAGAGGCAGGUGUCAUUGCCAUGUGACUGGAGGAGAAGGUAUUUGCAAGGAGCAGUCCAGGUGGAUGGACAGAGGAGAAGUCAUGCCGGACCAAAAGGCUGCAGAGAGGAUUGGCUGGAGCAGGUGUGCAGUUUUCCCAGUGGUGGGAUGAAGGAGGUUCAGGCUGGAGGCAGGAUCCUGGUGGUGUGAGUGGGGCGCCCCUGUGGAGCAAGGGUGGAAGGUGUGUGGCAGGUCCUGUCCCGGAGGAGUGGAGUUAAGGGUCCUGGCGUGGCUGUUUUCCUGCAUGGAAGAUGGAGAUCCUGGGAGCUGUGAUGAGGAGGAGCAGAGCCAGCAGCAAGAAGCUAUGGGGAGCUUCUAGGUCUAAUGCUGUUCCUCUGCUUUUGAGCUGAAUUUCUGCACGGCAGCCUUUCUCGAAUGCAGUAGGGCUUCCCUGGCUUGAAGAUGGGUGUGCUGUCCUGAGGGAGGAGCAGUGUUGACUGUCUUACAGUGACCUUCUGCUUUCCUUUAAGAAGAGUCCACUAAGAACUGUAUUGGGUUUUUCAGUAGGUAACUCAGGAGAGGGCUUCUCGGUGAAAUCCUUUGUGUUGAAUUGCAGUAAGUUGAGUAUGUGAACCUUCCUCCCAAACUGAGACCGAACGCCAGCAAAAAUGCCAAAUAUGUUGUCCUGUUUCCCUUUAUAACAAAAGAUGUGGUACUUUGCUGGGGUUGCGCCUUUGUGUUCAAUGUUUGUAUGCAGUAUAUUGUAUCCUCAUGUGGGAGUCUGCCAUUAUUAACUGCACUGUUAAUAACUGUUAUUAUUAAUAUAAUAUAUUAAUAUAAACUGUAAAUUAAUAAUAAAAACUGUAAUUAUUAUUAAUAAAUUUACAGUUUAUAAUCCAGUUGUGCUGUGAUAGAAGUUCAGCAGCUGGAUAAUGCAGGAUAGAAAAUGGAGUUGACAGAGAUGCAAAACAACUCUCCUACUGCCUUGACUUGAACUGUGUCUCAGUGUGCUAUUACACUGACUCAUUAGUGCAAGCAGAUGUGUACCAUGAGGAAGGGCUGUUUUCUGAUGUGGGAUUUAGUUCUUGGGCCCGCUUUCCUGACAAGGGUUUUCUUUACCUACUCCCAUGGAUGAUAAAUGCUUUGAACUAGACCAGAGGAUAAGACUUCCUCCUUUUCUAACCCAGGCUUUCUCUUGAGCAGGAGGCUGUCACUGGAACACACAGGAACAGUCAGAGCAAUUACUGAAUUGGACUGUCUGAGCUGAAAGUUGAUGGUGCAUCCCUCUGGUAGAGGGAAUGCAAAAAAGAGAGGUCUUGAAUCAGUAGUGAGUUUAUUGCUGAAGAGCAAAGAUUCGUAUCUCACCCUAAGCUGGGUGUUUUUCACUGCCACACGCCCAGUCAUUUCACUAUACCCAUGUUCUGCCUGGUACCACUCUGACUACCUUCUACCACUAACAACCAGAAUGGCUGAGCAAGGAGUACUGUUUGCAGCUAGGAAGCCAAAAACAGCCAAAAACCCUUCUGUUGCUUCCUUCUGUGUUCUGUGGGGGUGCACAGUCAGAAGAGAGCUUCCACCAUGCAUACCAGUCCUUAUAAAGUAUCUUUCCUUAUGAACACCAGUACGGACUCCCUUUCACUGUCUCUUUUAGCUGGAGACCUGGGCUGUGCAUCUGUGUUCCUCCAUCUACAAUGAGAAGAAAGGGUUUGUUUUUUUUAAUUUCAUUGUUGUAACAAAUAAAAAUCAAGGGAGCUUGGCAACUGUGUUUGACUGUGAGUGGUUCUAGAAGUCUGACCUUUAUUCUUCUGUCAUUCAUAUUGAACACUGAUCCCUAGGUGCACAGUGCAUGAGGAAGCUCUAACCUUCUCCAGUUUCUACACUCACUUGAAGUAAUUAUGGCCAUAGUCAUUUCCCUUCCACAUCAACAUUGGUUACUGUACUGAGCAGAUAAAUCCCUUCCCCCAAACCUAUGAGGCUGCAUGACAAACCAUGGGGACUCCAUGUGGAAAUAACAGUAAAAAAAAGCCAUCCAGGGCUAAGAGGAGGUCUUUCAAACUUGAUGUGAUAUGUCUGUUCCUCAGGGGUUCAUAUGGUCUCGUGUACUUGACACUGCAAAAAAACAGUAGCAGAAGCAGUGAAACUAGGGAAAGAGGAAGGUUUCAGAUAUCACCUUGUAAAGCUCAUUGCUCACAGCAUAAGCUCUUCAGACUACCUCGACACACGGGCCUUGGAGAAGUCAGGCACAAGCGCUUAUCCUUCUAAAUGCCUUUCCCAAGAGCUGAGACCCCACAAACUUCACACGCCUAGCAAAAGCGCACAGGAAUGGGUCUCCAAGGAGGAAAAGCGAGCUCGCCUGUCAGUACUGCCAGGGAAGACAGUGGUGGAGACUGUUGGGCUGAUGUCCUCUUGUGUUGUUUUUAAUGCUAGUCCGCUAAAGUAGGAUGAUCAAAC